AUUGAACGCUGGCGGCAUGCCUUACACAUGCAAGUCGAACGGCAGCACGGGUGCUUGCACCUGGUGGCGAGUGGCGAACGGGUGAGUAAUACAUCGGAACAUGUCCUGUAGUGGGGGAUAGCCCGGCGAAAGCCGGAUUAAUACCGCAUACGAUCUACGGAUGAAAGCGGGGGACCUUCGGGCCUCGCGCUAUAGGGUUGGCCGAUGGCUGAUUAGCUAGUUGGUGGGGUAAAGGCCUACCAAGGCGACGAUCAGUAGCUGGUCUGAGAGGACGACCAGCCACACUGGGAAUGAGACACGGCCCAGACUCCUACGGGAGGCAGCAGUGGGGAAUUUUGGACAAUGGGCGAAAGCCUGAUCCAGCAAUGCCGCGUGUGUGAAGAAGGCCUUCGGGUUGUAAAGCACUUUUGUCCGGAAAGAAAUCCUUGGCUCUAAUACAGUCGGGGGAUGACGGUACCGGAAGAAUAAGCACCGGCUAACUACGUG
rnacentral:rRNA from 1 species